rnacentral:rRNA from 1 species
GACGAACGCUGGCGGCGUGCUUAACACAUGCAAGUCGAACGGAAAGGCCCUGCUUUUGUGGGGUGCUCGAGUGGCGAACGGGUGAGUAACAUGUGAGUAACCUGCCCUUGACUUUGGGAUAACUUCAGGAAACUGGGGCUAAUACCGGAUAGGAGCUCCUGCUGCAUGGGGGGGGUUGGAAAGUUUCGGCGGUUGGGGAUGGACUCGCGGCUUAUCAGCUUGUUGGUGGGGUAGUGGCUUACCAAGGCGUGGACGGGUAGCCGGCCUGAGAGGGUGACCGGCGACAUUGGGACUGAGGGGCGGCCCAGACUCGUACGGGAGGCCGCAGUGGGGAAUCUUGCACCAUGGGCGGAAGCCUGAUGCAGCAACGCCGCGUGCGGGAUGACGGCCUUCGUGUUGUAAACCGCUUUCGCCUGUGACGAAGCGUGAGUGACGGUAAUGGGUAGAGAAGCACCGGCUAACUACGUG